rnacentral:rRNA from 1 species
UACGAAGGGGGCUAGCGUUGUUCGGAUUUACUGGGCGUAAAGCGCACGUAGGCGGAUUGUUAAGUCAGGGGUGAAAUCCUGGAGCUCAACUCCAGAACUGCCUUUGAUACUGGGGAUCUUGAGUUCGAGAGAGGUGAGUGGAACUGCGAGUGUAGAGGUGAAAUUCGUAGAUAUUCGCAAGAACACCAGUGGCGAAGGCGGCUCACUGGCUCGAUACUGACGCUGAGGUGCGAAAGCGUGGGGAGCAAACAGG